rnacentral:rRNA from 1 species
GACGAACGCUGGCGGCGUGCUUAAUACAUGCAAGUCAACUUGACUUUAGAUAGCAAUAUCGAAAAGUAGGGUGGCGCACGGGUGCGUAACGCGUAGGUAAUCUGCCCUGAGGUCUGACAUAACCCGUCGAAAGGCGGGCUAACAUCAGAUGAUAUAUAAUCACGACAUCGUGGGAAAUAUCAAAUCUUCGGAGCCUUGGGAUGAGCCUGCGUCUGAUUAGGUAGUUGGCGGAGUAAUAGCCCACCAAGCCUACGAUCAGUAGCUGGUCUGAGAGGAUGAUCAGCCACACUGGAACUGAGACACGGUCCAGACUCCUACGGGAGCAGCAGUAAGGAAUAUUGCUCAAUGGGGGAAACCCUGAAGCAGCAACGCCGCGUGAAGGAUGAAAUACUUUUGUAUGUAAACUUCUGUAAGAUGGGAAAAAUAUUCUCCUCGGGAGAAUUGAUUGUACCAUCAGAGUAAGCCCCGGCUAACUACGUGCCAGCAGCC